AACGAACGCUGGCGGCAGGCUUAACACAUGCAAGUCGAACGAUAUAGUGGCAGACGGGUGAGUAACGCGUGGAAACGUACCUUUCACUACGGAAUAGCACUUGGAAACGAGUGGUAAUAC
rnacentral:rRNA from 1 species